UACGUAGGCAGCAAGCGUUGUUCGGAGUUACUGGGCGUAAAGGGUGUGUAGGCGGUUGCUUAAGUUUGGUGUGAAAUCUCCCGGCUCAACUGGGAGGGUGCGCCGAAUACUGAGUGACUCGAGUGCGGGAGAGGAAAGUGGAAUUCCUGGUGUAGCGGUGAAAUGCGUAGAUAUCAGGAGGAACACCGGCGGCGAAGGCGGCCCUCUGGAUCGUUGCUGACGCUGAUACGCGAAAGCGUGGGGAGCAAACAGG
rnacentral:rRNA from 1 species